rnacentral:rRNA from 1 species
CACGUAGGGGGCGAGCGUUGUCCGGAUUUAUUGGGCGUAAAGAGCUCGUAGGCGGUUCGGCAAGUCGGGUGUGAAAUUUCGAGGCUCAACCUCGAGACGCCACUCGAUACUGCUGUGACUGGAGUCCGGUAGAGGAGUGCGGAAUUCCUGGUGUAGCGGUGAAAUGCGCAGAUAUCAGGAAGAACACCCGUGGCGAAGGCGGUUCUCUGGGACGGUACUGACGCUGAGACGCGAAAGCGUGGGGAGCGAACAGG